rnacentral:lncRNA from 1 species
AUAUCACAAGAAUCGAUGUCUUAGGAAUUAGAGGUGUAUUAGAAAACAUCAUAAUUGGCAUGACUGACACUCAGGCCUGGAAGGAUAAAGCAUUUCAAUUUAUUUUGACUUCUUAAGAUUGCUGAGACUGCAAUUCCUGGACCCUGUCUACUCCUGGUCAGUUUUACAUGGCCAAAAUGUAACAGAAUGAUUUUAUUCCUUAGCUUUAUCUUAUUUGCGCUCUAAUAUAUAACCAGCCUUUGAAUUAUGUUUCCCUAAAAAAAACAACUGUUUUAUAUUAGGAUGAUUAAACUUAGGCCAUCUGAUAUUCCCAAAACCCCAAUAAAGGAACAAACUGGAAACUGCAUAAAAUAAUGCAGGUAAAAUAACCUUCAGAAUGGCCAGAAUCAAUUCAAGCUUCAGCCUUUUGAUGACUUCACAGAUGAAUAACAAUGUGGUAGGUUUUACUAAAAAACAACAACAAAAAAGAAGACGAAGAGGAUGAAGAAGAAGAAGAAACAGGCUUUUCCUAUUCUUCCACCCCUUUGCAGUAAGUACUUCAUUUAAAAAAGUAAAGAAUUAUUUUAUGGCCUUGAUGUUGUCAGAGACACUAAAUUUUCUACACAAACAAAAUCGGAUGACUCUGCUUGAAAAAAAUUCUUUCCUAUUAAUAUUAUGAGAUGUUUAAAAAAAAAAAAAAAAGGCAUCUGGACAGUUCAUUUGAAUGGCCACAAGAGAGCAGUAAGAAAUUAAAGCUUAGGAAGAUGACUCAUAGUCACACUUUAUAUGUAUGUGUUCUGCUAUUAGGAAGAAUUGAAAGACAGACUUAUUUCUAUUUGUUCUUGAGUUUAGAAAUAUAGUUUAGAAUUUCUUAAUUUUUAAAACGGCUUUAGGAAGGGCAAUAUUGAUAGCAUUAGCUGGAAUUACUGAAAAAAACCUUAAGUUAAGACUUUUACAAACCUCAAGUUCAGGUGUGAAAAUAGAAGAAAGUACCUCCUCUGGGCAAAGGGACAUCUUGAGCAGUCAUCCGGCCCAUCCCUUCGGAUUAUUCAAGCCUGACAGAAAGGUAUGUAACUCAUUUACAGAGGCCCUCAGAAGAAGAACCCAGCAUCCUGUUCUAGAACAUGGCCAACACUUUAAAAUGUUAAGUAUGAGGAAAUAUAUUUUUAUGUGUAAUUUUAUCCCCUUGUGUUGUAAUUUAGCUACUAUUUUAAAUAAUACCUAGGGAGACCUUGGGUCUUUCCCCCGAGGCCCUUCUUUUUUUCUUUAGAUGCCCUGCCCUUCUCUGCCCAUACAAACAUUGCCACUUUUUACUUGGAGUUUUGGAUGCCAUGAAUUUUAAAAAUGAAUUUAAAAAUUCUGUAUUUGCAAAAUGAUCAGAGCUAGCUCCAGUAUACGGCACACUCUUAGGAAUCAGUCUGAGAAAAAUAUUAAUGAUGAGUAGAAGAAUAGACAAAGGAUGUAAACAGGCAAUUUGCAAAGGUAGAAUCUCAGCUAGUUAAUAAAUAUAUGAAAAAAAUUAUUCACGCUGGACAGGAAACAAAAGAAUGUAAACUAAAUUGGGAUACUUUUAUAUUACUAGAUAAGCAAGAUUUAAAAGAAUUAUAAUGUCCAAUGUUAGCAAGAGAGGACAGCCACUCAUAAACACCGAGGCAUUUGUUGGAAAAACUUUCCUGAGGGCUGUUUGGAAAUAUAUAUCAAAAACUUGAAAAUUACAAAUUUUCUCUGACCUAGCAAUUUUGCUAUUAGAAACUUAUUAUUCUUCCUAUAAAAAGAAUCAAUUACAAGUACAGUUUCCAAUAGUGAAAAGAAUUGGGAAAACAAAAAUAAAUUAUUUCAAAAGGAGAAUAGGUUAAUUAAAUCAGGGCAUAGCCAUACAAAUAGAUUAUUAUUCAAAUCAUUAAAACUACUACAAAUAUGUAUUUACUGGCAUUGAAAGCCAUUGAUAUAUUUUAAGUUAAAAUAAGAUUGGAAACAGCAUUGUAUGAUUUCACAUAGGAAGAAAUCGUGAGUGACUACAGAGAAAAAUGGCUGGAUGAUAAUACACCAAAUAAUAAUUAUCUGUGGGUAAUGGUUGCACAGAUGAUUUUUUUUCCUUUCUUCUAUAGAACUUAUUGUAGCCUCUACAUCUGCAUUUUUCAUCAAUGAUACAACUUACUUAUAAAAUUUGUAAACACACACAAAAAGCUACUUCUAUACCUGAAAAAAAAAAGUCCUUAGAAAAACCUUAAAAGUUGAUUUGGUGAAUUUAUAAGAAGCUUGAAGUUUAGCUUUCACCUAGCAAGUUUCUAUGAGAACACAGAUUAAUAAAAUAUGAUCUGUGGUUAUCUACAUUUUCUUAAUACAGUAAUGUGAAAGAAAACUACACAAUAAGCCAUAAGGUUAUAUAUAGCCAUAUGCUAAUAUAACUAAAUAAAAAUUUAAAAACAAACGUUCAAAUGGUUGAUUAACUUAUUGUAAAUAGCAUUGCUUUUUAAGAGGAAAACAAAUUAUCCUCACCUCUUUGCACCCAUGAGCAACCAGUGACCUGACAUCCAACCUAUUUUAUAUUUCUAGGUGUUCUAAAUGAUCAUAUUUUCAUUGAUUUUCAGGCCCAUGUUCAAACUACAAUUAAAAUAAUAAUAUGUAUUUCAAAGGGGCUUUUACUGAAUUCGGCUUCCGAGUAGCUAAAGAAUUCCUCUGUAAGGAUAACUUUUCAAUUACUGCAGAUCGGAAAAGAAUACUAUGUUUCCUACUAUAUUAACAGUUCUUCAUUUUUCAACCAAGUUCAAAUUAUGACUUCAGAAUUAUCAACUGUCGAAUAUCUCUUAUGACCCUAGUACUGGAUUAGACCUCUGAACAAACUGCAAGAUAAAUAUCUUCAAUUUAAGAUGGUGAGCAGGCUCAGAGAGGCUCCAUACUGUGAAUGGGUGAAUGGCAUAGUGGAAGUAGGAGGGUAACCUUUGCACUUUUGGGGCCCCCAACUUUGCAUUUUUGUUUGUUUGUUUGACAUGGAAGGGAUCCUUUUUCCAAUUGUUUAUUCUUUUUUUUUUUUUUUUUUUUCUGUCUUUUUAGGGCCACACCUUAGGCACUUGGAAGUUCCCAAGCUAGGGGUCAAAUCAGAGCUGCAGCUGCCAGCCUACAACACGGCUACAAAAAUGCCAGAUCCGAGCUGCUUCUGUGAAAUACAUGGCUGCUCAUAGCAAUGAAGGUUCCUUAACCCACUGACUGAGGCCAGGGAUCGAACUGGUAUCUUCAUGGAUACUAGCCGGGUUCUUAACCCACUGAGCCACAAUGGGAACUCCUGUUUAUUCUUUUCUUCACAGUGUAUAGUAUUUUCUCAGCCUUUCGAGGCCCAUUUUCUUCCUUCUACCACUGAAUCCUACCACUGAACCUUUCCAG